GUUGGGUAGGGGAGCGUUCUGUAAGCCUGUGAAGGUGGCCUGUGAGGGUUGCUGGAGGUAUCAGAAGUGCGAAUGCUGACAUAAGUAACGAUAAAGCGGGUGAAAAGCCCGCUCGCCGGAAGACCAAGGGUUCCUGUCCAACGUUAAUCGGGGCAGGGUGAGUCGACCCCUAAGGCGAGGCCGAAAGGCGUAGUCGAUGGGAAACGGGUUAAUAUUCCCGUACUUGGUGUUACUGCGAAGGGGGGACGGAGAAGGCUAUGUUGGCCGGGCGACGGUUGUCCCGGUUUAAGCGUGUAGGUGUGUGUUCCAGGUAAAUCCGGUUCACUUUAACACUGAGGCGUGACGACGAGGCACUACGGUGCUGAAGCAACAAAUGCCCUGCUUCCAGGAAAAGCCUCUAAGCAUCAGGUAACAUCAAAUCGUACCCCAAACCGACACAGGUGGUCAGGUAGAGAAUACCAAGGCGCUUGAGAGAACUCGGGUGAAGGAACUAGGCAAAAUGGUGCCGUAACUUCGGGAGAAGGCACGCUGAUAUGUAGGUGAAGCGGUUUACCCGUGGAGCUGAAAUCAGUCGAAGAUACCAGCUGGCUGCAACUGUUUAUUAAAAACACAGCACUGUGCAAACACGAAAGUGGACGUAUACGGUGUGACGCCUGCCCGGUGCCGGAAGGUUAAUUGAUGGGGUCAGCGCAAGCGAAGCUCCUGAUCGAAGCCCCGGUAAACGGCGGCCGUAACUAUAACGGUCCUAAGGUAGCGAAAUUCCUUGUCGGGUAAGUUCCGACCUGCACGAAUGGCGUAAUGAUGGCCAGGCUGUCUCCACCCGAGACUCAGUGAAAUUGAACUCGCUGUGAAGAUGCAGUGUACCCGCGGCAAGACGGAAAGACCCCGUGAACCUUUACUAUAGCUUGACACUGAACAUUGAGCCUUGAUGUGUAGGAUAGGUGGGAGGCUUUGAAGCGUGGACGCCAGUCUGCGUGGAGCCGACCUUGAAAUACCACCCUUUAAUGUUUGAUGUUCUAACGUGGACCCGUAAUCCGGGUUGCGGACAGUGUCUGGUGGGUAGUUUGACUGGGGCGGUCUCCUCCUAAAGAGUAACGGAGGA
rnacentral:rRNA from 1 species